rnacentral:hammerhead_ribozyme from 1 species
AUCCAGCUGACGAGUCCAAAAUAGGACAAAACAGGCUACCUGGAU